rnacentral:sRNA from 1 species
CAGCCGCACCGCGUCUCCCGCCGUCUCCGCAGCCCCGCAGGCCCCGGGCCCUCUCGUUCCCAGCGCUGCCCUGUCUUGCGUUCCAGUGUUCCAGCUUCUGCGAGAUGACCCUCAAGGCGAGCGAGGGCGAGAGUGGGGGCAGCAUGCACACGGCGCUCUCCGACCUCUACCUGGAGCACUUGCUGCAGAAGCGUAGUCGGCCAGAGAUGUUCAUGAGAGCGCAGUUUGACUAUGAUCCCAAAAAGGACAAUCUGAUCCCUUGCAAGGAGGCGGGACUGAAGUUUGCUACUGGGGACAUUAUCCAGAUUAUCAACAAGGAUGACAGCAAUUGGUGGCAGGGACGGGUGGAAGGCUCCUCCAAGGAGUCAGCAGGAUUGAUCCCUUCCCCUGAGCUGCAGGAAUGGCGAGUGGCAAGUAUGGCUCAGUCAGCUCCUAGCGAAGCCCCGAGCUGCAGUCCCUUUGGGAAGAAGAAGAAGUACAAAGACAAAUAUCUGGCCAAGCACAGCUCGAGUAAGCUUUCUGAGCCUUCUUGCCCCAGGUUCCUGGCAGCAUUCAUGUGUUUCCCAGUCUCUGUAACCAGCAGAAAAGGGGAGGUGGUGCAGUGCGCAGCAGAAGGCGCAUUCUACAGAAAGCAUGUCAUUUCUUCUGGUUUCUUUUUAUUGAAUCCAUCUUCACAAGCUUGCUGCAGUCAGGCCAGUGGAUGUAAAGGAGGACUAGUGGUCAGCCCACACCUGCUCAUCACCCCACCCCUCACACAGAAGUAGAUAUGGUGGGAGAGGGGAAGUGAGGCAAGAACACAGGCCAGAGGGAGAGGCCAGGGCCAGGUCAUAGGGAGCUUCGUGCACCCUCCCUAGCGUUUU